GGACAGGCGCUGGGCGAGGCCGGCAGGCUGGUGGACCUGGUGAUACUGGCUCGGCCGAGUUAAGUAGUAAGAUGCAGUAGAGCUCUCUCUGUCUCCGUCUGUUGGGGGCUGCCUAGGACGCGGUAACACAGAGGGAACAGAAGUUCGUUCCUCACGGUUUGGAGGCUGGGAAAUCCAGUAUCUAACCAGCAUCCCAUGACAGAAGACCAAGAGAAUCUCGACAGUGCUGUGGUCUCCUUUCACCUCCUUCCACUUCACUGGUUUCUGUUAGGUGCCCCAGGGAGAGAAAGUCAGUUUUGCACCUAGGUGUGUGUUCCUCAGUCUCUGGGCUGCAUUCUUUCAAGUUAAUGUCUAAAAAUAAAUCAAGUUAUUCCUGUCUGAGGAAAAGAUGGGCUUUUCAAAAAAAAAAAAAAGUGCUGUAGGGACAAACAGAAAGCUAUCUGCAGAAGGAUGGAGAGAACGCAAUCCUCACACUGAAAUCAGCUGCAGUGGACCAGAGAGCCCAGCGGGAAGCAUGAAACCAGAGAAGUGUCACGUCGGUGACUGACUGUUUCACCUGCUUCCGAGAAGGCAAAGAACUGGGAACGACUGGUGCCACUUGACUCCCUAACAACAAAGGAACAAAACAGCGUAAGCAGACAGGUAGUGACUACGAAAGAACGUGGGCAGGUUAUCUCACACGUGAGGGCAAGUACACAGCCAGCUGUCACAAUUGGAGAACCCCCAAACUGGAGAGAAACACAGACAAGAGACGCGAACAGAGAGCCACGUGAGGACGGAGAAAAAAAGAAGUGUGGAAGUCGCCAGUUCUACACAUGACACGAUGCUCAGUUUCCCCGACAGGGAGAGAAGUGGAAAUCGCAGUUCUCCUCCAAGCCAAGAGUUUGAUGAGCUUCUCUGGUAGACAGUGCAAGUGCAUACGGGACAAACCCCUUGGAGAGGCACUUGGCAAAAGUGUAACAGGAGUACGUCUGCAUGAACCAGCAGUGUCACUUCUAGGAACUGCGGGACAAACCCCUUGGAAAGGCACUUAGCAAAAGUGUAACAGGAGUACGUCUGCAUGAACCAGCAGUGUCACUUCUAGGAACUGCCCUGAGAGAGCUCCUCCACAGAUGACAAUGUUUGCACGAGGUUAUGCAACAUGACUGUAGUAGCAAAAGAUGAGAAACCAUCUAAGUACCCACCAGCAGGGCAGGUAGUCCACAAAAGGUAACACAGACACGAACUGGAGACCAGGCAAUCAUAAAGAGACAGAGGCAAAUCUAAGUGGACUGAAAUGAUCUCCAGAAUAUGUUUUCAGAUGUAAGGAACUAGUACACUAGUACAUAGAAUGUAUAAUAUUUGGGUUUAGCACCACCAACAAAAACAAAGGGUAAGAAUAUAUUUAGGUAUUUGCUUAUAUUUGCAAAGAGUAGAAAUAAAAAUAGUUACCUAUAGAGUUAGAAUGAAAUGGAGAGAGUUGGAAGUGACAGUUUUGGGAGUUUGGCUACCUUUAACACACUUUUUAACUUUGGGACCACAUAAAUGUUUUACAUCUCCAAAAACAUUAAAAUAAAAAAAGACCAAAAAUAAAAUCCUAAAAUGGAAAACAAAUUGGGACAAAUGAGCCUAACUUUAUUUCAAAUGUGGCAACAACAGCUACACAGAGAACAGAAUUAUUUUCAGUGUUCUCAUUAUGCACCCCUAGUGGGAUAUGAUCUAAGGAUAAAUGAAUAGAAAGAAAUGUUAAACUUCACUCAGUACCGUAUUGUCCGUAUAGUGUUACAUGGACAGGAAACUGAGAUGCGAUUCCAACUCGGGAGCAAUCAAUGUUAUCAGAUGGGGUGUAGCCUAGUAUUAGGGCUCCCGAGUCCCACAUCAGACCAUCUGGGUUCAAUUACAGACUGUGGCUCCAGUCUCCAGCUUCCUGCUCACAUGGACCUUGGGAGGCAGCAAUGACGGCUGUGACUGUGUUCCUGCCACUCUCGUGGAAGAUCCACACUGAGUUCUCGGCUUCCACCUUCAGCCAUGGACCAGCUGUGGCCACUGCAGCCAUUUGAAUCAGCUCGCUGUGUGUGUGUGUGUGUGUA